rnacentral:misc_RNA from 1 species
AAUCAUUCUCUCUAUUUUUGUUGCCGCCUCCAUCCUCACCCUUAUAUCUUCUUGGAAGCCAUCAAAAUAGUAUCCAUGACAGCGCAAAUCUGAAAUCGCUAAUCGAAGCUACAUACACCUCUUUUUUGCAUGCCCCAAUUUGGGGUUCGCAAUCCAUCUGUGCUACUGAGGAGACGCAAUCUUCACCAUAUUUAGUCAUCGG